GACGAACCGUGCGAAUGUUGUUCGGAAUCACUGGGCUUAAAGGGCGCGUAGGCGGCUCCAAAAGUCAGGGGUGAAAUCCGGCAGCUUAACUGUCGCAGUGCCUUUGAUACUGUGGAGCUAGAGGGAGGUAGGGGUCUGUGGAACUUCCGGUGGAGCGGUGAAAUGCGUUGAUAUCGGAAGGAACGCCGGUGGCGAAAGCGACGGACUGGAUCUCUUCUGACGCUGAGGCGCGAAAGCGUGGGGAGCGAACAGG
rnacentral:rRNA from 1 species